rnacentral:rRNA from 1 species
GAUGAACGCUGGCGGCGUGCCUAAUACAUGCAAGUCGAGCGAACAGACGAGGAGCUUGCUCCUCUGACGUUAGCGGCGGACGGGUGAGUAACACGUGGAUAACCUACCUAUAAGACUGGGAUAACUUCGGGAAACCGGAGCUAAUACCGGAUAAUAUAUUGAACCGCAUGGUUCAAUAGUGAAAGACGGUUUUGCUGUCACUUAUAGAUGGAUCCGCGCCGCAUUAGCUAGUUGGUAAGGUAACGGCUUACCAAGGCAACGAUGCGUAGCCGACCUGAGAGGGUGGUCGGCCACACUGGAACUGAGACACGGUCCAGACUCCUACGGGAGGCAGCAGUAGGGAAUCUUCCGCAAUGGGGGAAAGCCUGACGGAGCAACGCCGCGUGAGUGAUGAAGGUCUUCGGAUCGUAAAGCUCUGUUAUUAGGGAAGAACAAAUGUGUAAGUAACUAUGCAGGUCUUGACGGUACCGAAUCAGAAAGCCACGGCUAACUACGUG